CCUACGGGUGGCUGCAGUGAGGAAUAUUGGUCAAUGGUCGCAAGACUGAACCAGCCAUGCCGCGUGCAGGAAGACGGUCCUAUGGAUUGUAAACUGCUUUUAUACAGGAAGAAACCCUCCCACGUGUGGGAGCUUGACGGUACUGUAGGAAUAAGGAUCGGCUAACUCCGUGCCAGCAGCCGCGGUAAUACGGAGGAUCCAAGAGGCAUUCGGAAUCAUUGGGUUUAAAGGGGUCGUAUAAGGCCGUGGUGAAAGCCCAUCGCUCAACGAUGGAACUGCCAUUGAUACUGUAAGACUUGAAUGCUUAGGAAGUAACUAGAAUAUGUAGUGUAGCGGUGAAAUGCUUAGAUAUUACAUGGAAUACCAAUUGCGAAGGCAGGUUACUACUAAGUGAUUGACGCUGAUGGACGAAAGCGUGGGGAGCGAACAGGAUUAGAUACCCCGGUAGUC
rnacentral:rRNA from 1 species